UAUAAUUUAUAUAAAACAAUUUAAUAUAAUAACAGAUAUUAAAAUGAAGCUUUUGAAGUUUAUUUUUGUUAUUAUUAUGGCUUUAGUGUCAUUUGCUGCCAGUUGCUCGCCUCCGGGUACUAAAUGCAAUGUUAUGCAAAAACAUGACUGCUGUUCUGGUUCUUGCUCCGCAAUGUCAACAACACUUGAUGGAAUUUGUAAUUAAAUUUGUAAUUUAAGAAUUAAAAAAAUUCUUUAAUUUUUAUUACUAAAUCUUGUAAUAUUUGAAUAAAUUAAAAUUUUAUUAUC